GAUGAAGAACGCAGCGAAAUGCGAUAAGUAGUGUGAAUUGCAGAAUUCAGUGAAUCAUCGAAUCUUUGAACGCACAUUGCGCCCUUUGGUAUUCCAAAGGGCAUGCUUGUUCGAGCGUCAUUUGUACCCUCAAGCUUUGCUUGGUGUUGGGCGUCUUGUCUCUAGCUUUGCUGGAGACUCGCCUUAAAGUAAUUGGCAGCCGGCCUACUGGUUUCGGAGCGCAGCACAAGUCGCACUCUCUAUCAGCAAAGGUCUAGCAUCCAUUAAGCCUUUUUUUCAACUUUUGACCUCGGAUCAGGUAGGGAUACCCGCUGAACUUAAGCAUAUCAAUAAGCGGAGGA
rnacentral:misc_RNA from 1 species